rnacentral:rRNA from 1 species
GACGAUCGCUGGCGGCGUGCUUAACACAUGCAAGUCGAACGGAAAGGCCCUGCUUUUGUGGGGUGCUCGAGUGGCGAACGGGUGAGUAACACGUGAGUAACCUGCCCUUGACUUUGGGAUAACUUCAUGAAACUUGGGCUAAUACCGGAUAGGAGCUCCUGCUUCAUGGUGGGGGUUGGAAAGUUUCGGCGGUUGGGGAUGGACUCGCGGCUUAUCAGCUUGUUGGUGGGGUAGUGGCUUACCAAGGCUUUGACGGGUAGCCGGCCUGAGAGGGUGACCGGCAACAUUGGGACUGAGAUACGGCCCAGACUACUACGGGAGGCAGCAGUGGGGAAUAUUGCACAAUGGGCGGAAGCCUGAUGCAGCAAAGCCGCGUGCGGGAUGACGGCCUUCGGGUUGUAAACCGAUUUCGCCUGUGACGAAGCGUGAGUGACGGUAAUGGGUAAAGAAGCACCGGCUAACUACGUG